GGUAAAAUGGCUGAGUAAAGCAUUAGACUGUAAAUCUAAGUACAGAGGUCAAACCCUCUUUUUACCA
rnacentral:tRNA from 1 species